CCUACGGGUGGCAGCAGUGAGGAAUAUUGCACAAUGGGGGAAACCCUGAUGCCGCGACGCCGCGUGAGUGAAGAAGUAUUUCGUUAUGUAAAGCUCUAUCAGCAGGGAAGAAAAUGACAGUAUCUCUGUAUGAAACCCCGACUAACGAGGUGCCCGCAGACGCGGGUAUCUGUAGGGGGCAAGAGUUAUCCGGAUUUACUGGGGGUAAAGGGAGCGUAGACGGCAGUGAAAGUUUGUAGUGAAAGGCGGGGGCUCAACCCCCGGACCGCUCUGGAAACUGUACGGCUGGAGUGCAGGAGAGGUAAGUAGAAUUCCUAGUGUAGCGGGGAAAUGCGUAGAUAUUAGGAGGAACACCAGUGGCGAAGGCGGCUUACUGGACUGUAACUGACGUUGAGGCUCGAAAGCGUGGGGAGCAAACAGGAGUAGAUACCCGUGUAGUC
rnacentral:rRNA from 1 species